rnacentral:rRNA from 1 species
GAUGAACGCUGGCGGCGUGCCUAAUACAUGCAAGUCGAGCGAAUGGAUUAAGAGCUUGCUCUUAUGAAGUUAGCGGCGGACGGGUGAGUAACACGUGGGUAACCUGCCUAUAAGACUGGGAUAACUCCGGGAAACCGGGGCUAAUACCGGAUAAUAUUUUGAACUGCAUGGUUCAAAAUUGAAAGGCGGCUUCGGCUGUCACUUAUGGAUGGACCCGCGUCGCAUUAGCUAGUUGGUGAGGUAACGGCUCACCAAGGCAACGAUGCGUAGCCGACCUGAGAGGGUGAUCGGCCACACUGGGACUGAGACACGGCCCAGACUCCUACGGGAGGCAGCAGUAGGGAAUCUUCCGCAAUGGACGAAAGUCUGACGGAGCAACGCCGCGUGAGUGAUGAAGGCUUUCGGGUCGUAAAACUCUGUUGUUAGGGAAAAACAAGUGCUAGUUGAAUAAGCUGGCACCUUGACGGUACCUAACCAGAAAGCCACGGCUAACUACGUGCCAGCAGCCGCGGUAC